GAUGAACGCUGGCGGCGUGCCUAAUACAUGCAAGUCGAGCGAACGGACGAGAAGCUUGCUUCUCUGAUGUUAGCGGGGGACGGGUGAGUAACACGUGGAUAACCUACCUAUAAGACUGGGAUAACUUCGGGAAACCGGAGCUAAUACCGGAUAAUAUUUUGAACCGCAUGGUUCAAAAGUGAAAGACGGUCUUGCUGUCACUUAUAGAUGGAUCCGCGCUGCAUUAGCUAGUUGGUAAGGUAACGGCUUACCAAGGCAACGAUGCAUAGCCGACCUGAGAGGGUGAUCGGCCACACUGGAACUGAGACACGGUCCAGACUCCUACGGGAGGCAGCAGUAGGGAAUCUUCCGCAAUGGGCGAAAGCCUGACGGAGCAACGCCGCGUGAGUGAUGAAGGUCUUCGGAUCGUAAAACUCUGUUAUUAGGGAAGAACAUAUGUGUAAGUAACUGUGCACAUCUUGACGGUACCUAAUCAGAAAGCCACGGCUAACUACGUG
rnacentral:rRNA from 1 species